GGCUGCCGUCGCCCCGGCGGAGGCCGGGGCCGCCAUCGGCUCCAGCCUUGUCGUUGCCCCAAGGCCUAUAACGGCCCCGGCCUCCGCCGGGGCGACGCAUUUA
rnacentral:pre_miRNA from 1 species